UAACUACAACCUUCUUCCUCCUCUGCUUCCCAUUCGCGUGGCCUUGAAGGAACAAAGGCUAAGUCAGUGUCUACCUUGUCCGAGUUCUUCACGGAAAUUUCAUGUCCAUGGCCCCUGUGAGGGUGAUCCUUGGCUUGCAGAGAGCAGUAUCAGUUUGGAAGGAAAGUAACAGACUGGCUCCAUCUUUGAGAUCAUUCAGCACCACAACCACCACCACCGGAAAAGACUCAUUUCGGUGGUCUCAAGGACGAAGACCGGAUCUUCACCAACCUCUACGGUCUCCACGACCCUUUUCCUCAGAGGAGCCAUGAAGAGAGGUGACUGGCACAGGACCAAAGACUUGGUGCUCAAAGGUACCGACUGGAUCGUCGACGAGAUGAAAAGGUCUGGUCUCCGUGGACGCGACGGUGCUGGUUUCCCUUCAGGUUUUGAAUCUUGAGAAGGCCAGGAGAGAGGCCUAUGCGGCUGGUCUGUUGGAGAAGAAUGCUUGUGGCUUUGGUUAUGACUUCAAUGUUUAUAUCCACUUCGGCGCUGGUGCGUACAUUGAUAUGUUUACAAGCAUGAGAGCUGUGGGCAGUGUACACCUUGUAGGGAAGGGACGGGUUGGCUUUGGAUGAUCAUGGAGAGGAUGAAAGUUGGGAAUGCGAAGCUGGAAGAGAUUGAUAUGCUACAGGAGGUGACCAAACAGAUCGAAGGGCACACGAUCUGUGCGUUGGGGGAUGCUGCUGCGUGGCCUGUGCAAGGUUUGAUAAGACAUUUUAGGCCGGAGCUUGAGAGAAGGAUUAGGGAACGUGCUGAAAGGGAGUUGCUACAGGCUGCUGCUUAGAAGGCUUUGUUAAGACAGGGAAGUUGCUAUUAUUCUCCAUGGAAAUAAAAAAAUCUGAAGAACACUAUUAGAGUUUUUGAAGGUAAUGUAUUCGUGUUAAAACGUUUAAUGUAAAACUUGAUUCAAGUUGUAUCAGACAGAAAGAGCUCUCACUCUUGUUUCUUCAUUGUUUGCUUGUUUACUUAUGACUACUAUAUGAGAGCACAUUUUGGGAACAAUCAAACAAAACCGUCUUCAUGUUUGAAAUAAAGGAGUGCUCC